AUUGAACGCUGGCGGCAGGCCUAACACAUGCAAGUCGAGCGGAUGAAGGGAGCUUGCUCCUGGAUUCAGCGGCGGACGGGGGAGUAAUGCCUAGGAAUCUGCCUGCUAGUGGGGGAUAACGUCCGGAAACGGGCGCUAAUACCGCCUACGUCCUGAGGGAGAAAGUGGGGGGUCUUCGGACCUCACGCUAUCAGAUGAGCCUAGGUCGGAUUAGCUAGUUGGUGGGGUAAAGGCCUACCCAGGCGACGAUCCGUAACUGGUCUGAGAGGAUGAUCAGUCACACUGGAACUGAGACACGGUCCAGACUCCUACGGGAGGCAGCAGUGGGGAAUUUUGGACAAUGGGCGAAAGCCUGAUCCAGCCAUGCCGCGUGUGUGAAGAAGGUCUUCGGAUUGUAAAGCACUUUAAGUUGGGAGGAAGGGCAGUAAGUUAAUACCGUGCUGUUUUGACGGUACCAACAGAAUAAGCACCGGCUAACUUCGUG
rnacentral:rRNA from 1 species